rnacentral:rRNA from 1 species
UAAGGAAUAUUGGUUAAUGUGCGAAAGCGCGAACCAGCAACGCCGCGUGCGCGAUGAAGGCCUUCGGGUUGUAAAGCGCUUUUUGAGGGGAUGAGGAAGGACAGUACCCUCAGAAUAAGUCUCGGCUAACUACGUGCCAGCAGCCGCGGUAAAACGUAGGAGACGAGUGUUAUUCGGAUUUACUGGGCGUAAAGCGCGUGCAGGCGGUUUGGUAAGUUGGAUGUGAAAGCUCCUGGCUUAACUGGGAGAGGUCGUUCAAUACUGCCAGACUUGAGGAUAUGAGAGGGAGGUGGAAUUCCGAGUGUAGUGGUGAAAUGCGUAGAUAUUCGGAGGAACACCAGUGGCGAAAGCGUCCUCCUGGCAUAUUUCUGACGCUCAGACGCGAAAGCUAGGGUAGCAAACGGG